rnacentral:rRNA from 1 species
UCCCUACGGGAGGCAGCAGUGAGGAAUAUUGGUCAAUGGGCGGAAGCCUGAACCAGCCAAGUCGCGUGAGGGAUUAAGGCCCUGCGGGUCGUAAACCUCUUUUGCCGGGGAGCAGAGGUCCGGACGUGUCCGGGCCGGGAGAGUACCCGGAGAAAAAGCAUCGGCUAACUCCGUGCCAGCAGCCGCGGUAAUACGGAGGGUGCGAGCGUUAAUCGGAAUUACUGGGCGUAAAGCGCACGUAGGCUGUUGUGUAAGUCAGGGGUGAAAUCCCACGGCUCAACCGUGGAACUGCCCUUGAUACUGCA